rnacentral:rRNA from 1 species
GAUGAACGCUAGCGGCAGGCUUAAUACAUGCAAGUCGUGGGGCAGCAUGGGGUAGCAAUACUCUGAUGGCGACCGGCAAACGGGUGCGGAACACGUACGCAACCUUCCCAAAACUGGUGAAUAGCCCUCCGAAAGGAGGAUUAAUACACCGUAACAUAACGAAGUGGCAUCACUUUGUUAUUAUAGCUCCGGCGGUUUUGGAUGGGCGUGCGCCUGAUUAGGUAGUUGGCGGGGUAACGGCCCACCAAGCCUACGAUCAGUAACUGGUGUGAGAGCAUGACCAGUCACACGGGCACUGAGACACGGGCCCGACUCCUACGGGAGGCAGCAGUAAGGAAUAUUGGUCAAUGGACGCAAGUCUGAACCAGCCAUGCCGCGUGAAGGAUGAAGGUCCUCUGGAUUGUAAACUUCUUUUAUCUGGGACGAAAAAAGGGCUUUCUAGCUCACUUGACGGUACCAGAGGAAUAAGCACCGGCUAACUCCGUGCCAGCAGCCGCGGUAAAGU